CCUACGGGUGGCUGCAGUCGAGAAUCUUCGGCAAUGGGCGCAAGCCUGACCGAGCGACGCCGCGUGCGAGAUGAAGGCCUUCGGGUUGUAAAUCGCUGUCAGAGGGGAGGAAAUGCCGGUGGGUUCUCCCAUCGGUUUGACCUAUCCUCAGAGGAAGGACGGGCUAAGUUCGUGCCAGCAGCCGCGGUAAGACGAACCGUCCAAACGUUAUUCGGAAUAACUGGGCUUGAAGGGUGCGUAGGUUGGGCGUGAAAGCCCUCAGCUCAACUGAGGAAUUGCGCCCAAAACUGCCGGACUUGAGGGAGACAUAGGUGAGCGGAACUUAGGGUGGAGCGGUGAAAUGCGUUGAGAUCCUAAGGAACACCAGUAGCGAAAGCGGCUCACUGGGUCUCUUCUGACGCUGAUGCACGAAAGCUAGGGGAGCGAAGAGGAUUAGAUACCCGAGUAGUC
rnacentral:rRNA from 1 species